AGACAACCAGGAGGUUGGCUUAGAAGCAGCCACCCUUGAAAGAGUGCGUAAUAGCUCACUGGUCGAGUGGUUCUGCGCCGACAAUUCAGUGGGGCUCAAGUACACCGCCGAAGCCGCGGCAAACAUUUUUUGUUUGGGUAGGGGAGCGUCGUGCAUGGGUUGAAGCGUUACCGUAAGGAGGCGUGGACUGUGUGCGAGUGAGAAUGCAGGCAUGAGUAGCGAAUUGAUAGGUGAGAAUCCUAUCCGCCGGAUGACUAAGGGUUCCUGGGUCAAGUUCGUCUUCCCAGGGUGAGUCGGGACCUAAGGCGAGGCCGACAGGCGUAGUCGAUGGACAACGGGUUGAUAUUCCCGUACCCGUGUAUGCGCGCCAAGUGAUGAAGCGGUGAGACUAACCACCCUGAACACUAGCCAUUGGGUGACUUUGUUGCCCUGGGUUGGUGUGAUGCGUGGGGCCUGAUCCGUGGUAGUCAAGUGAUGGGGUGACGCAGGAAGGUAGCCAAGCGUGGCGAUGGUAGUCCACGUCCAAGGUCGUAGGGCGAGGUGUAGGCAAAUCCGCACCUCACAUAGCCUGAGAGCUGACGGUGACCGCGAAUGCGGGAAUCUGGUGAUCCUAUGCUGCCAAGAAAAGCCUCGACGCGAGGUUCUAGCCGCCCGUACCCCAAACCGACUCAGGUGGUUAGGUAGAGAAUACUAAGGCGAUC
rnacentral:rRNA from 14 species